GACAGAGGGUGCAAACGUUGUUCGGAAUUACUGGGCGUAAAGCGCACGUAGGCGGCUUUGUAAGUUAGAGGUGAAAGCCCGGGGCUCAACCCCGGAACUGCCUUUAAGACUGCAUCGCUUGAACGUCGGAGAGGUGAGUGGAAUUCCGAGUGUAGAGGUGAAAUUCGUAGAUAUUCGGAAGAACACCAGUGGCGAAGGCGGCUCACUGGACGACUGUUGACGCUGAGGUGCGAAAGCGUGGGGAGCAAACAGG
rnacentral:rRNA from 1 species